GUGGAGAGGAGACAAUAAGAGAAGAGGAAGUGGUGCCAGCACAGAGAAAUACCUUGAUGAAAGUCUUCCUUUUAAGCUUCAGUGAGUUGAGUCAAGUCAUCCUCAAGGUUUGAAGAAACUGGACACCUGCCUUCAGUGGAGAGGAGACAAUAAGAGAAGAGGAAGUGGUUUUUCUGGAUGAACUCAAUAACUAUGUUCACGUCUACACAACACAACAAUAAAAAUAUUGAAAAGAAGAAUAUAAUUAUGCAGGAAUCUUUUGAUAGACUAGAAUCAACAAACGGUCCUAUAGCUUACCAAAAUGGAAAUGAAAUUCAAGAAUAUGAUACCAUCAUGAAUUUAGUGAUUCCAAAAGAAAUACCAUGCACAAUAGAAAUUAGAAAUUAUACCAAAAAUAAGAUAAUAAAUGGACUUGGUGUUUAUUAUGGUUGCGGUCAUGUUUUGACUGCUUUCCAUGUUAUUAAGGGUACACAUCGUGAGCAGUAUAAAAUAUUGGUUACUUUCAGGAUUGAAGAUAUUGUGCUGGUCUAUAAGGCUGUCAUUACAGAAUUUUGUAACUUUGACAAAUCUAGAGAUCAAGCUUUUAUUAAAUUACUUGGCAAUACACAUCCACUUGGUGAUGGUCUACAAAAUCAGAUGGAUAACCCCGAUAAAAUUGAAAGUAUAUAUUUUUACACUUUAGUCAAUGGGAAUUUUCAGAAGAAGGAGGGUAAAUUAAUUCGUCCAAAUUCAAGCAUGAAGGCACAAAUGCUUCCUUCUGAGUUUGUAAUAUCUGUAGCAGGUAAACAUGGAGACAGUGGCUCACCUGUUUACAAUGAAAAAGAUAAACUGAUUGGAAUAUAUAGAGGUGACUUUACAUGCACGACGACCUCUGAUAAAUAUGGCCGCUAUACUGAAAUCUCUCCAAAGUUUAUACCCUGGAUGAAUAAACGUACUGAAAGUAAGAUUUGGAGUUUUUUAGGAAAGUUCCUAGUUUUUUUUAUAGAAAAAAUAUUCAACAAUUUGAAAACAUAUUAUAUUUUUUAAAAUAUCGAAGUUCUGAUUUGUUUAAAAAUAUUGAAGUUUUGUGAUAUUUAAAAAUAUCGAAGUUUUAAGAUGUUUAAAAAUAAAGUUUUGAGACAAAUAUUUUAAAAUAUCGAAGUUUUGAGAUAGAUAUUUAAAAAUAUCGAAGUUUUGAGAUAGAUAUUUAAAAAUAUUGAAGUUUUGAGAUAUUUAAAAUUAUUGAAGUAAACUUUGUAGUUUACAACAAAGUAGUUGCAACAACCAACUGCUUGGACGUUAAUUGUACAACUGUUUGGUUGACAAUAAUUGAUUUUAGUCUAUCAAAUAUAUUUAUUGUUAUAACAUUUUAUCCUUUAAAUAAAUAAAUCAUGAAUAAAUCUGAGAUCCCAUGUGGCAUGUUGUUGCAUGAGGCCUUGGGCUCUUGCGUAACAGUCACAUUUUACAGAUUUCUUUCAUGGUUUAAAAAAAAGUUUGUGGAGAUAUAAUGGCAUGCCAUUUAGGAAAUUAUUAUUAUUAAAUAUAUAGAAAGUAAGCAUGAAUAUAUGGAAUGAAACUUAUAUUUAAAUAAAAUAUGGUCCUGCAGGGCCAAUUUUUUUCUAUCUUUUUUUGCUUUCAUGGCAAACUGUUUGUCACUCCCUUUCUGUUUUCGGGGCUUGAGGUGCACGUGUGGAAGUGCGCGUGCAUGUGCGUGCAUGUGCAUGAGGCAUGUCACAUGUGAGUCACUAGAAAGAAGCCAAGGCUUUUGUUUCUGCCAGACCUGAGAAAUAAAAGUUCACGUGCAAGAACAACCUGAGUCCACUGAGUCUCACCUUCUGAAUAUUUACCACACUGGUGGCCAAGCCAGGGAGAUCAACGCAUCAUGAAUGCCACAUGGACAUGGAGGCAAAUCCCCUGGCACAGAUCGUAGAGCCUCGAGAAAUCAUCAGCAUCAAGCUCUCAUGGGUCUGCAGUAACAACAUCAGGAAAUCCUCAUGAAAAACCAUGGAGGAGAACGCUGCAGGCCAAACCACCAUCCAGAGCCUGCUGGCACGAGCUCCUCCCUAAACUCCUUCUCGCUGGCCAAAAUGACACCCCAGGAUGAUGUCGAGGUGUACCUGGAGAUGUUCCAAAGUAACGCCUCUGCGUGUGGCUGGCCGAGAUGCACAUUCAAGUCCUUCUGAACAGAGGCCUGGCUGAUUUCCAGUGGCUCACACUUGACUCAUGCAUCAUGGACACACACACAGAGAACACACAGGUUUGGCUCAGUAAGACAGAGAGAGAGGGACAGAACAGCUUGCUAUUAUAAGCCCACAAAUAAUCAACAGGCAUAUCAGAAUAAUCACAUUUGAGUUGAGGUACAUUCACACAUACAAGGAAUUUGCUGUUGAAUGUGCUAUGCAAAUAAACUGAUUUGACUGGACUGGUGAAUGAGUCUCUGGAAACCACUUCCUCCUCCAUGUUACCGAUCCACUGCCCAGAGUGAGGUCCUCAAAAUAAGAUACACUAAAGAUUGGCAUUUUACAAAAAAUUAAACGUCUCACCCUUGCUUCACUGGAUGGAGGACACCUGGGUGCUGUUGAUUUGGAUCUGCGAAAUGCUGCUGUCAUCAUCGCUGCAAUCAUCACUCCAGCACAUUUACUACUGUCUGUCUUUACACUCCUAUAUCUGUGGACUGUAAUGAUUUAUAAUCGCACUCGCCGGUUUCACCCACAAGAGGAUGGGUUCCCUUUUGAGUCUGGUUUCAUCAUCUCAGGGAGUUUUUCCUUGUCACUGUUGCUCACUCGGGAUCGAAACUUACAUCCAGAAUUCUGUAACAAAAAUGUCUGUUGGAAAAAAGAAAAAAAAAGUACGAAUAAAGCCAAACUCUGAACUGAA